rnacentral:rRNA from 1 species
AACGAACGCUGGCGGCAUGCCUAACACAUGCAAGUCGAACGAGACCUUCGGGUCUAGUGGCGCACGGGUGCGUAACGCGUGGGAAUCUGCCCUUGGGUUCGGAAUAACUCGCCGAAAGGCGUGCUAAUACCGGAUGAUGUCGUAAGACCAAAGAUUUAUCGCCCAGGGAUGAGCCCGCGCAACAUUAGCUAGUUGGUGAGGUAACGGCCCACCAAGGCGAUGAUGUUUAGCGGGGUUGAGAGACUGAUCCGCCACACUGGGACUGAGAUACGGCCCAG